rnacentral:rRNA from 1 species
CCUACGGGAGGCAGCAGUGAGGAAUAUUGGUCAAUGGACGAGAGUCUGAACCAGCCAAGUAGCGUGAAGGAUGACUGCCCUAUGGGUUGUAAACUUCUUUUAUAAAGGAAUAAAACGAGGCACGUGUGCCUUUUUGCAUGUACUUUAUGAAUAAGGAUCGGCUAACUCCGUGCCAGCAGCCGCGGUAAUACGGAGGAUCCGAGCGUUAUCCGGAUUUAUUGGGUUUAAAGGGAGCGUAGAUGGGUUGUUAAGUUAGUUGUGAAAGUUUGAGGCUCAACCGUAAAAUUGCAAUUGAUACUGGCAGUCUAGAGAACAGUUGAGGUAGGCGGAAUGCGUGGUGUAGCGGUGAAAUGCUUAGAUAUCACGAAGAACCCCGAUUGCGAAGGCAGCUUACUAAGCUAUGACUGACAUUGAUGCUCGAAAGUGUGGGUAUCAAACAGGAUUAGAUACCUUUGUAGUC